rnacentral:rRNA from 1 species
UGGGGAAUAUUGGACAAUGGGCGAAAGCCUGAUCCAGCCAUGCCGCGUGUGUGAAGAAGGCCUUAUGGUUGUAAAGCACUUUAAGCGAGGAGGAGGGUACUGGUAUUAAUACUACCAGUUACUGGACGUUACUCGCAGAAUAAGCACCGGCUAACUCUGUGCCAGCAGCCGCGGUAAUACAGAGGGUGCGAGCGUUAAUCGGAUUUACUGGGCGUAAAGCGCGCGUAGGUGGUUCGUUAAGUUGAAUGUGAAAGCCCCGGGCUCAACCUGGGAACAGCAUCCAAAACAGGCGAGCUAGAGUAGGGCAGAGGGUGGUGGAAUUUCCUGUGUAGCGGUGAAAUGCGUAGAUAUAGGAAGGAACACCAGUGGCGAAGGCGACCACCUGGGCUCAUACUGACACUGAGGUGCGAAAGCGUGGGGAGCAAACAGG